rnacentral:tRNA from 4 species
CGCUAGGAAGCUAAAUACUGGACAAAGCAUUGGCCUUUUAAGCCAAAGACUGGUGAUUCCCGACCACCCCUAGUGA